AUUGAACGCUGGCGGCAUGCCUUACACAUGCAAGUCGAACGGCAGCACGGGAGCAAUCCUGGUGGCGAGUGGCGAACGGGUGAGUAAUAUAUCGGAACGUGCCCAGUCGUGGGGGAUAACGCAGCGAAAGCUGUGCUAAUACCGCAUACGAUCUACGGAUGAAAGCGGGGGAUCGCAAGACCUCGCGCGAUUGGAGCGGCCGAUAUCAGAUUAGCUAGUUGGUGAGGUAAAGGCUCACCAAGGCGACGAUCUGUAGCUGAUCUGAGAGGACGACCAGCCACACUGGAACUGAGACACGGUCCAGACUCCUACGGGAGGCAGCAGUGGGGAAUUUUGGACAAUGGGCGCAAGCCUGAUCCAGCAAUGCCGCGUGCAGGAUGAAGGCCUUCGGGUUGUAAACUGCUUUUGUACGGAGCGAAACGGUCUUUCCUAAUACGAGAGGCUAAUGACGGUACCGUAAGAAUAAGCACCGGCUAACUACGUGCCAGCCGCCGCCGUAA
rnacentral:rRNA from 1 species